rnacentral:lncRNA from 1 species
AAGAAGUCAGGCCGGAUUAAGCCAUAGCACGGUAAGAGCUAUGCUGCCUGUGAGCCCCGUCCAAGGACGUUAAAUGAAGUCAGGCCGAAAGCCACGGUUCGAGCAAGCCGUGCUGCCUGUAGCUCCAUCGUGGGGAUGUAAAAACCCGGGAGGCUGCAAACCAUGGAAGCUGUACGCAUGGGGUAGCAGACUAGUGG